AGUGAACGCUGGCGGUAGGCCUAACACAUGCAAGUCGAACGGCAGCACAGUAAGAGCUUGCUCUUACGGGUGGCGAGUGGCGGACGGGUGAGGAAUACAUCGGAAUCUACUUUUUCGUGGGGGAUAACGUAGGGAAACUUACGCUAAUACCGCAUACGACCUACGGGUGAAAGCAGGGGAUCUUCGGACCUUGCGCGAUUGAAUGCGCCGAUGUCGGAUUAGCUAGUUGGCGGGGUAAAGGCCCACCAAGGCGACGAUCCGUAGCUGGUCUGAGAGGAUGAUCAGCCACACGGGAACUGAGACACGGUCCAGACGCCUACGGGAGGCAGCAGUGGGGAAUAGGGGACAAUGGGGGCAAGCCUGAUCCAGCCAUACCGCGUGGGUGAAGAAGGCGUUCGGGUUGUAAAGCCCUUUUGUUGGGAAAGAAAAGCAGCAGGUUAAUACCCCGCUGUUCUGACGGUACCCAAAGAAUAAGCACCGGCUAACUUCAUG
rnacentral:rRNA from 1 species